rnacentral:rRNA from 1 species
UACGGAGGGUGCAAGCGUUAUCCGGAUUCACUGGGGUUAAAGGGUGCGUAGGCGGGUAAGUAAGUCCGUGGUGAAAUCUCUGAGCUUAACUCAGAAACUGCCGUGGAUACUAUUUGCCUUGAAUAUUGUGGAGGUGAGCGGAAUAUGUCAUGUAGCGGUGAAAUGCUUAGAUAUGACAUAGAACACCAAUUGCGAAGGCAGCUCACUACACAAUCAUUGACGCUGAGGCACGAAAGCUAGGGGAGCAAACAGG